rnacentral:rRNA from 1 species
CCGGAGGAAGGUGGGGAUGACGUCAAGUCCUCAUGGCCCUUAUAGGUGGGGCUACACACGUCAUACAAUGGCUGGUACAGAGGGUUGCCAACCCGCGAGGGGGAGCUAAUCCCAUAAAACCAGUCGUAGUCCGGAUCGCAGUCUGCAACUCGACUGCGUGAAGUCGGAAUCGCUAGUAAUCGCGGAUCAGAAUGUCGCGGUGAAUACGUUCCCGGGUCUU